rnacentral:lncRNA from 1 species
CUUCAUAGAAGAGCUCCUCUCUUUAGCCUUACCCUCUUAGCCAUCACAUCAUGAGAUGUGAUGACUGGCCAGCUUGAGUCAAGAGCCAUCCCUUGGGUGAACAUCUAAGUGAGAUUCAAAGUGUGAUAUGCCCAUUGAUUUGCAGAUUCCCGUGUUCCUUCAAAUCAAGCCCAGAAAUGGAAAUCUGGUGUAGAACUAGUGAGGCAGUGAAGUCCAGCCUUUGAAAACAGAGAGACCUGCCAUGGAGUAAAAGGUAGCCCGCGGCACACUCGGUCACCAGGGCUCUGUCCUGAAGUGAGGCCACUUCAGCUAUUCCCACUCAUCCACGGUGCUAGAAGACUGAAGAUGGGAGCUGUCCCCAAGCCUGCUGACUGACUCCAUAG